UACGGAAGAUGCGAGCGUUAUCCGGAUUUAUUGGGUUUAAAGGGAGCGUAGGCGGGUUUUUAAGUCAGCUGUGAAAGUUUGAGGCUCAACCUUAAAAUUGCAGUUGAUACUGGAGACCUUGAGUGCGGUAAAGGUAGGCGGAAUUCGUGGUGUAGCGGUGAAAUGCUUAGAUAUCACGAAGAACUCCGAUUGCGAAGGCAGCUUACUGGGCCGUAACUGACGCUGAUGCUCGAAAGUGCGGGUAUCAAACAGG
rnacentral:ncRNA from 2 species